rnacentral:rRNA from 1 species
UACGAAGGGGGCUAGCGUUGCUCGGAAUCACUGGGCGUAAAGCGCACGUAGGCGGACUUUUAAGUCUGGGGUGAAAUCCUGGAGCUCAACUCCGGAACUGCCUUUGAUACUGAGAGUCUUGAGUUCGGGAGAGGUGAGUGGAACUCCGAGUGUAGAGGUGAAAUUCGUAGAUAUUCGCAAGAACACCAGUGGCGAAGGCGGCUCACUGGCCCGGUACUGACGCUGAGGUGCGAAAGCGUGGGGAGCAAACAGG